CAGACCAUUUCUACAGAUAGCCAAAGUCACGAUAUGCAACCAGAGUUAAAAUGCAUCCAAUAAAACUUACUUUAAAAAACAAUAUUUCAAACAACUCCAAGCUCCCUCCUAUAUAUUGUAUAACAAUAUCAAACGUAAUGUGUAUUGACAAAACUGUUUAUAUUUAAGUUGAAGUUGUUUGUUAAGAUAACGUUAAUACCGUACCGUUUUAUUUAAGGUUACGUUAUUACAUCUUAUCAUGGCAACACUAAAACUCAAUAUUUUAUCAUGGCAUCCCCGCAAUUAAGCGUCCCGGAAGUGACAGAGGGGAUGUGUUAAGCUUCUCUCUGAUCAAACUGACCGUUGUCACUGGCUCAGUUUUGAAUUUCACCCUGUGUCGUGAAGUGAAAUGUAAUUGUGAAGUGUAAUGAAUUUUGUUGCUGAAGAAAAUAAUUGAAAAAUGAAAUCGCCAAAAGAAAAAUGAAUCCGGGUUGCUGGAUGAGUUGGGUGACCCUGAAUCUACCCUUUAGAUACGUAAGGCGUUUUUGAGUAAGCUGAUAUGUAAUUAGUCCUCCUAAUUAUAUGACGACAUUUUAUAAAUGUUCCAAGUAACGAGGUAUCGAGUGCCACUGAAUGCUGUCCUGUUAUUUUAUUUUGAGCUAAACUACCACAUUCAGCAUCUCUACACUCGACCCGCGACCCCAAGAACCAGUGUUCUUCUACUCUAGACUUGGUAAUAUUAGUCCCUACAAUGCAAGUUACAUCGAUAGAGUGAAGCCAAGAGGAGAAAAAAUUAUAUUGAUAAUAUUAUAAUAUAUA